CACGUAGGUGGCAAGCGUUAUCCGGAAUUAUUGGGCGUAAAGAGCGCGCAGGUGGUUGAUUAAGUCUGAUGUGAAAGCCCACGGCUUAACCGUGGAGGGUCAUUGGAAACUGGUCGACUUGAGUGCAGGAGAGGUUAUCGGAAUUCCCGGUGUAGCGGUGAAAUGCGUAGAGAUCGGGAGGAACACCAGUGGCGAAGGCGGGUGACUGGACUGCAACUGACGCUGAGGCGCGAAAGUGUGGGGAGCAAACAGGAUUAGAUACCCCUGUA
rnacentral:rRNA from 1 species